AACGAACGCUGGCGGCAGGCCUAACACAUGCAAGUCGAACGAGAAGCUUUCCUUCGGGGAAGUGGAAAGUGGCAGACGGGUGAGUAACGCGUGGGAACGUGCCUUUCGGUUCGGAAUAACUCAGGGAAACUUGGGCUAAUACCGAAUACGCCCUCCGGGGGAAAGAUUUAUCGCCGAAAGAUCGGCCCGCGUCGGAUUAGCUUGUUGGUGAGGUAAAAAGCUCACCAAGGCGACGAUCCGUAGCUGGUCUGAGAGGAUGAUCAGCCACACUGGGACUGAGACACGGCCCAGACUCCUACGGGAGGCAGCAGUGGGGAAUAUUGGACAAUGGGCGCAAGCCUGAUCCAGCCAUGCCGCGUGGGUGAAGAAGGCCCUAGGGUUGUAAACCCCUUUCAGCGGGGAAGGAUAAUGACGGUACCCGCAGAAGAAGCCCCGGCUAACUCCGUG
rnacentral:rRNA from 1 species